CACUCUCCAAACUGGCAUCACACAAUAAUAAUACAAAUAUGUAUAUCAAACUUCAAACAUAACUAUAAAGUCCUUCAUUCUCAAGGAUUCUUCAAACUAAACCUUCUUCUUCAUCACCCCUUCGUCCUCAUCAUCAACGCCUUUGCUCAUCUUAGCUUCUCCAACAUGUACUUGUAACUAUAAAUUUAUAUCUAUCGCAACACUCGGGUGGAUUGAUUGCUAUAACCCAUAUACUUUCAAAAUGAUGCUAUUUUUCAAGGAUCAUCGAACAAAACAACCUAAGCUUUCAACUUACAAAGGUCAUCACCGUUUAACCAUAGUUUAUGACGGUGAUGGAGAAUCAUGAGAGUCGUCCCCUUACUAUCAAAAGGUGAAAAUCAACUAAAAGGAGAAGAAAUGGCAAUUUAGCAAUAUGAGAAUGCAUAAUCUCACAUAAUGCAUUUUCCUUUGAUUUUAUUGCGAUAUAUGCUUCUCUUUUAAUAUAUAGUGUAUGCUCAUCAUGAAAAAAACAGAUCCAACGUUGCUUGUACUUGGAGGAGUUCCCCUUAAACCAUACUUCAGAAGAAUUUUUCUUCUUUUCUUUUACAAUAAUAUGUACUUAGGGUUUCCCCCUUCAUGUUAAGUUUGGCCAUGCAAUCAUAGUUCAUGUUGUAUUAUUUCAAAUGUUGCUUCAUUUGGGUUAUUAUAAUUAGUUUACUGUUAAAA